UAUAUACUCCCUCCGUUCGGAAUUACUUGUCUCGAAAAUGGAUGUAUCUAGAACUAAAAUACAUCUAGAUACAUCCAUUUCUACGACAAGUAAUUCCGAACGGAGGGAGUAUGUA
rnacentral:pre_miRNA from 1 species